AUACGUAGGGGGCGAGCGUUGUCCGGAAUGAUCGGGCGUAAAGGGCGCGUAGGCGGCGCGGUAAGUCUGGAGUGAAAGUCCUGCUUUCAAGGUGGGAAUUGCUUUGGAUACUGCCGCGCUUGAGUGCAGGAGAGGUUAUCGGAAUUCCCGGUGUAGCGGUGAAAUGCGUAGAGAUCGGGAGGAACACCAGUGGCGAAGGCGGGUAACUGGACUGCAACUGACGCUGAGGCGCGAAAGUGUGGGGAGCAAACAGGAUUAGAUACCCUGGUAGUCCACACUGUAAACGAUGAAUGCUAGGUGUAAGAGGUAUCGACCCCUUUUGUGCCGGAGUCAACACAAUAAGCAUUCCGCCUGGGGAGUACGGCCGCAAGGUUGAAACUCAAAGGAAUUGACGGGG
rnacentral:rRNA from 1 species